rnacentral:rRNA from 1 species
GUGGCGAACGGGUGAGUAACACGUGGGUAAUCUGCCUUGCACUUUGAGAUAAGCCUGGGAAACUGGGUCUAAUACAGGAUACGACUUCCUGCCGCAUGGUGGGGGGUGGAAAGCUUUUGUGGUGUGAGAUGAGCCCGCGGCCUAUCAGCUUGUUGGUGGGGUAAUGGCCUACCAAGGCGACGACGGGUAGCCGGCCUGAGAGGGUGACCGGCCACACUGGGACUGAGACACGGCCCAGACUCCUACGGGAGGCAGCAGUGGGGAAUAUUGCACAAUGGGCGCAAGCCUGAUGCAGCGACGCCGCGUGAGGGAUGACGGCCUUCGGGUUGUAAACCUCUUUCGCCAGGGACGAAGCGCGAGUGACGGUACCUGGAUAAGAAGCACCGGCUAACUACGUGCCAGCAGCCGCGGUAAUACGUAGGGUGCGAGCGUUGUCCGGAAUUAUUGGGCGUAAAGAGCUCGUAGGCGGUUUGUCGCGUCGGCU